rnacentral:rRNA from 1 species
AUACGGAGGGUGCAAGCGUUAUCCGGAUUUAUUGGGUUUAAAGGGUCCGCAGGCGGACUAAUAAGUCAGUGGUGAAAUCUCUCGGCUCAACCGAGAAACUGCCAUUGAUACUGUUAGUCUAGAGUGUAGUUGGCGUAGGCGGAAUAUAUCAUGUAGCGGUGAAAUGCUUAGAUAUGAUAUAGAACACCGAUCGCGAAGGCAGCUUACGAAACUACAACUGACGCUCAGGGACGAAAGCGUGGGGAGCGAACAGGAUUAGAAACCCUAGUAGUCC